GUAUAAUAACUGUAACGGAUAAGUAAGAAAUCAGUUUCUUCCAGAAAGUCUGCGGUUGUUGUGAGCAGAUAGAAGCCAUUUUUGAAAUUCUACCGUGAUAAUCAAUUGGAUAAAUAUUAAGUGCACAGGAUGUGAAGCUGGAUGGAACCGCGCGUAAGCGCUCCAGCA
rnacentral:misc_RNA from 1 species